AUAAAGGAAGUACAUUUCUCGCAUUUCUGUCAGUAAGCGCUCUGUUUACAUCAGCCACAUAGCUUGUCAGUACGGAAAGUUGUAACCUAUCCACAUUUACGUACCAGAUCCUGCUCUGUUUAACAUCUUGUUGACAUUUAGACAAUGGAAUUUCUGAUGUCAAAGAAGACGGAACUGUGCCAGUGGUUAUCAACAGACCCUGAGUAUAUCAUUGAAAAGUGUGAGGAUAUUUGAUCAGUUGAACAAGGAAAAGCUGUUUCCAGCCAAGCCACUGCUGCGGAGAAGAUGUUCCUUCUUUUGGAUGAAAUCAUGAAAAAGGGGGAGGUUGCAUGUGAGGCGUUCAAUGAGAUUCUGCAGAAAGAGAAGGCACAUUAUCCAGGACUUCAACAGCAUUUCAGCAAGAACACACAAGUGUCAUCCAGCCCAACGGUUUACGCGGAUUGCAACAGCACUGUUGAUUCCCGAAUAGUUACCAGCAACCGAAUUAAAAAGGACUUGAUCAUACAUAAAACCAUCCAAGCAGGAGGGGUGAAUCCAUCUGGAGUGAACCUCAGCCAACCACCCUCAAAUGCAAAUGUGGUUGCACUCAACAACAGUCAUAUCUCUGCUGACAUGAUAAUGGACUGUGACAUCGAUGGCAGCCUCAAUUUGUCUUCGACACAGGCCCCACCUCCAGCCCCAGUCCAUCAAGCCUCACAGUGUCCAGGUAAACUAUUUAGGCAAGUUUUGUCUUCACAGGUCUCAACCUGAGCUGUAGCUGUGUUAGAGAGCAGGGGCCUCAUAACUGUUGUGUAAAUUUUACACUAAAUAUCUGCAUGCACCAUUUCUGAAAAGAAAACAAAUAUUGAGAUUUAUAAACUGGGCGCAUGUCAUACAUACACAUAUUUCUUGUUAUCCAUCACAGCUGUCGUAAACUGUGUGCGGGAACAAGCAUUAUAACUUUGCCUGAAAAAGGUCCAUCCCUCACACAAAACAACCUGUGAACACAUUAUUAAGUCAAGAAAGAAAGAAUAAUCCUACUGAAACUGGAUCAAAUGAAGUCAUGAAUGUGUCUCCAUAUUGCACUGACAAAGAGCUUAGUCUUACCCGUAAACCAAUCUGUUGCCAUUGUGCUUCAAAAGGUGAACUUAUUUGCAAUCAUUUACUUUUGUAUGGCUAAAGUUUUGACAGUGCUUCUCUGCUAUUGGCUAUAAGUCCUUCCUGAACUAAAAAUAACAUCUAUUACGAAAGUAAAAGUGUUAGAAUCGACAACCUCAAAGUUUGACGUUUAUUCCACAUCCUGUACUGAGACAUGGCUAAUCGUAUAGUAAGCUAUUUUCCUCUUCUGUGUGCUAGUAGUAAGUUAUUUUCCUCUUGUGCGACUGUAACUAAGAGGAAGUCAAAGAGAGAAUUCACCCAAAUCACAAAAUUACACCUUGGUUUCCUUACUCUGUAAACAGUUUAAAGACAGUAAUCCAUGCUUUGGUUUUGUGUGCCUGGCCAAAUUCUCUUUAUCAUUUGUGUGUCAAAACUAAUGCAAAUCAACAUCCUCAAUAUGAGCAUUUUACACGCUUCAUGUCCAAGUCAUUUUGUUUAUUGAACCUUUAUUUAACUAGACAAGUCAGAUAAGAACAUAUUCUUAUUUACAUUGAUGGACUAGGAACAGUGGGUUAACUACUUUAAGAACGACAGAUCUUUACCUUUACCUUGAUUUGAUGUAGCAACCUUUCAGUUACUGGCCCAACCCUCUAACACCUAGGCUACGUGCCGCCCCAGCAGGUAGACUAGUAACCGACAGGUAGCCUAGUAACAUUGCUUGAGCGACAGUAACCAAACAUUUUAGACACUUGCUGAUGAUUUGGACACAAAACGCAAAAAUAUUGUAAUAUUGGGGAUAUUGACUUGCAUUGUUUUUGGGACACAUGCUAAAAAGAGACUAUGGCUCAGUACACAAAACCAAAACCUGUUUUUUUUAGUUCUCCGUAAUGGAAUUUAUAGUUACAAAUAAGGUGAAAAUCAUUGACUGGCUUCGAGUAGAUCCAUUCUUCAAUCUUCAACAUCUGCAUUGUAAAGCAUUAUCAAAGACAGGGAGUAUCAAAGCCUUAUGAGUCUCCCAGAGCCGGAGAAUAAAGUCAUCAAACUGCGGGAUAAGAUCAUUGGCAAAUAGGAAAAAAACGAAUCUCAAUUUCCUUGAUACUCUCAAAGAAAGUCAUGUGCAUGAAAUCUAUCUACAACUUCAGCAGUCGAUGACCACCUUAGACUUACCAGCUCAACAGGAUAACCUCCCUCAGCAUUGGGAUACCAGGCCAGCCACCACUUCUGUCCGGCUCUACCCUAUCCAGUCAGGAAGCCCAGAGUAUGAUGAAGUCCUGAGCCUGUUCCGGGCUACUUGUCCAGACAAAACAAUUAUUAAGAUUGAAAGGGUCCAGAACACAAACCUGUGGAAUAGCUUCCAGAUCAAGAAACAAGAAAUGGAGGACAGAAAUGAUGGUAUGAUCAAUGAGAGACAUCUUUUCCAUGCAACCAGCAACACAACCAUAGAACACAUCAACAAUAACGGGUUCAAUCGGAGCUACGCUGGACUAAAAAUGAUGCAGAGUAUGGAAAUGGCACCUACUUUGCAGUCAAUGCCAGCUACUCUGCUGCUGAUGAAUUCUCCAAGCCAGAUGGCGAAGGGAGGAAGUUAAUGUACUUGUGUCGUGUUCUAACUGGACACUUCACAAAGGGAGAACGAGGGAUGAUAGAACCUCCAUUUAGAGGCGGUUCAGAGAUUUGGUGCUACGAUAGUACGACAAACGACACAGAUAAUCCAACAGAGUUCGUAGUCUUCCACGACUGUCAGGCAUAUCCACAGUACUUGAUCACUUUCUUAAGGGUCUAGAGCAACAUGGUAGCUUUUGGGAACUUCAAGUCAGUAAAUGUCAGUCACCAGACUCACCACCCAUUGCUACGUAGGAGAGAUAUUCGUUUUUUAAAUAGCAGUUGUGAUGGGGUUUAGUACUGCUCAACUAACAUAUCUUUGUUUGCCAGUGUUUUUUUCUAUGACACAUAUUUGUCAUUCCAUUAAAUAUCCUAGAUUUGAAGGGAAAAGCUAUGUGUAAAACCAUCAUUGUUAUGACUCAUAUUUCCAUUAAAUAAGAAAAACACAUAA